GAAACAAAGCAGAAUAAAAAAAAUGAUGUUGGAUCUCUUACAGAAUACUCAAAACAAAACAAAAAAAACAGUCAUACCCAUCAUUGUUUUCUAUUACAGGGUGAGAGAAAGUAUCCUGUUGCCUAGAGGAGAAAUGCUUUUCCCACUAAAGUAGGAGGAAAUUAUCUGUGUUCAUGGAUACUUUUGGAGAGUACAACUAAUGGUUGCUGCAUGGGGAAAAGGGUGGGAGAUGGGCAAAAAUGGCUGAAAGGGAGUGGGAGAUA